rnacentral:ncRNA from 1 species
CACAAAGGCUUGAUCCUGGCCUUAAAAUCAAUUAAUACUUAACUUACACAUGCAAGUCUCCGCACCCCAGUGAAAAUUGCCCAUUUUUUCUGCAAGAACAAACGGAGCUGGCAUCAAGCACAAUAAUUUGCUCAAGACGCCUAGUCUCACCACAUCCCCAAGGAUUUACAGCAGUGAUAAACAUUGAAUAUAAGCGCAAGCUUGACUCAGUUAAAGUAUAUAUGGGCCGGCAAACUUGGUGCCAGCCGCCGCGGCUAAACCAUACUGGGCCCAAAUUGACUUUCUAUCGGCGUAGAGAGUGGUUAAAGUCCUAUAUAUCUUAGAGUUAAACUUAAAUUAUAUCGUGAAACCUUAGUUUAACGGAAACCCAAAUGCGAAAGCUACUCUAACAUACUUGACCCCACGACAGCUAGGACACAAACUAGGAUUAGAGACCCUAUUAUGCCUAGCCAUAAACUUUAAUUUACACCACAAUCGCCAGGGGACUAUGAGCAAAGCUUAAAACCCAAAGGACUUGACGGUGCCCCAUACCCCCUAGAGGAGCCUGUCCUAUAAUCGAUAACCCCCGCUACACCCAACCACUUUUAGCCCAUCAGUCUGUAUACUUCCGUCUUCAGCUCACCGCAUGAGCGACAUUCAAUGAGCCUAAUGGUUUUCCAUCAAUACGACAGGUCAAAGUGCAACUAACAAAGUGGAAAGAGAUUGGCUACACUCUCUAAUAUAGAAAAUACGAAAGACUAAAAUGAAACCUUAUCCGAAGGUGGAUUUAGAAGUAAAAAGAAAAUAGAAAGUUCUUUUUAAUCCGGAAAUGGGGCGUGUACACACCGCCCGUCACCCUCUUCGAAAAGCAUAAUCAAGUACUUAACUUUAAUCGCACUAAAGAAGAGGUAAGUCGUAACAUGGUAAGUAUACUGGAAAGUGUACUUGGAAA